rnacentral:rRNA from 1 species
CCCUUAGACGUUCUGGGCCGCACGCGCGCUACACUGACGAAGGCAACGAGCUUUCCUUUACCGAAAGGUACGGGUAAUCUUUUGAAACUUCGUCGUGCUGGGGAUAGAUCCUUGCAAUUUUUGAUCUUAAACGAGGAAUGCCUAGUAAGCGCAAGUCAUCAACUUGCGUUGAUUACGUCCCUGCCCUUUGUACACACCGCCCGUCGCUACUACCGAUUGAAUGGUUUAGUGAGGCCUUCGGAUCCACGACUCGUUUGUGGAGAAGUUGGACAAACUCAGUCAUUUAGAGGAAGUAAAAGUCGUAACA